AGAGUACAGCCAAAAAACGAAAACAUGAAAGUUUCGAGAAGCCUGACAAGUGCAGCAAUUGCUCUGAUAAGCAUGCUCACUUAUUUCGCAAUAGCCAUGGCUGCUCCAAAUCCAGAUCCUGCACUAAAUCCGAAAGUUAUAGCAUCUUUGGCCGGCAAAUAAAUGAGGAAAGGACAUCGUGGAAAUGUUUUGCAGGUUCAUUUAUACAUAAAAGUAUAAAACUUCCUUAUAUAUAAUGUGAAAACAUUAAAUUUUUCUUAGAGAAACUUGUUGAAAAUUAUAUACGUGUUGUAUUUCAAGUGUUUCCAAUGAUUAAAAGGGUAUUAGCAUGAA